rnacentral:rRNA from 1 species
CGAGCGGAUGAGGGAGCUUGCUCCCUGAUUUAGCGGCGGACGGGUGAGUAAUGCCUAGGAAUCUGCCUGGUAGUGGGGGAUAACGUUCCGAAAGGAACGCUAAUACCGCGUACGUCCUACGGGAGAAAGCAGGGGACCUUCGGGCCUUGCGCUAUCAGAUGAGCCUAGGUCGGAUUAGCUAGUUGGUGAGGUAAUGGCUCACCAAGGCGACGAUCCGUAACUGGUCUGAGAGGAUGAUCAGUCACACUGGAACUGAGACACGGUCCAGACUCCUACGGGAGGCAGCAGUGGGGAAUAUUGGACAAUGGGCGAAAGCCUGAUCCAGCCAUGCCGCGUGUGUGAAGAAGGUCUUCGGAUUGUAAAGCACUUUUGUUGGGAGGAAGGGCUGCUGGUUAAUACCCUGCAGUUUUGACGUUACCACAGAAUAAGCACCGGCUAACUUCAUGCCCGCGCCGCGGAUAUACAAAGGGUGGGGCGAUAA